rnacentral:rRNA from 1 species
UGGGGAAUUUUGGACAAUGGGGGAAACCCUGAUCCAGCCAUCCCGCGUGUGCGAUGAAGGCCUUCGGGUUGUAAAGCACUUUUGGCAGGAAAGAAACGUCAUGGGUUAAUACCCCGUGAAACUGACGGUACCUGCAGAAUAAGCACCGGCUAACUACGUGCCAGCAGCCGCGGUAAUACGUAGGGUGCAAGCGUUAAUCGGAAUUACUGGGCGUAAAGCGUGCGCAGGCGGUUCGGAAAGAAAGAUGUGAAAUCCCAGGGCUCAACUUUGGAACUGCAUUUGUAACUACCGGGCUAGAGUGUGUCAGAGGGAGGUGGAAUUCCGCGUGUAGCAGUGAAAUGCGUAGAUAUGCGGAGGAACACCGAUGGCGAAGGCAGCCUCCUGGGAUAACACUGACGCUCAUGCACGAAAGCGUGGGGAGCAAACAGG